UACGAAGGUGGCAAGCGUUACUCGGAAUUACUAGGCGUAAAGGGCAGGUAGGUGGUUUGAUAAGUCUGUUGUGAAAGCUCCCGGCUUAACUGGGAGAGGUCAACAGAAACUAUCAGGCUUGAGUAUGGGAGAGGGUACUGGAAUUCCUGGUGUAGCGGUGAAAUGCGCAGAGAUCAGGAGGAACACCGAUGGCGAAAGCAGGUACCUGGACCAUUACUGACACUCAGCUGCGAAAGCUAGGGGAGCAAACAGG
rnacentral:rRNA from 1 species